GUGGGGAAUAUUGCACAAUGGGGGAAACCCUGAUGCAGCGAUGCCGCGUGGAGGAAGAAGGUUUUCGGAUUGUAAACUCCUGUCUUAAAGGACGAUAAUGACGGUACUUUAGGAGGAAGCUCCGGCUAACUACGUGCCAGCAGCCGCGGUAAUACGUAGGGAGCGAGCGUUGUCCGGAAUUACUGGGUGUAAAGGGAGCGUAGGCGGGAUUGCAAGUCAGAUGUGAAAUGCAGAGGCUUAACCUCUGAGCUGCAUUUGAAACUGUAGUUCUUGAGUGAAGUAGAGGUAAGCGGAAUUCCUGGUGUAGCGGUGAAAUGCGUAGAUAUCAGGAGGAACACCGGUGGCGAAGGCGGCUUACUGGGCUUUUACUGACGCUGAGGCUCGAAAGCGUGGGUAGCAAACAGGA
rnacentral:rRNA from 1 species